rnacentral:tRNA from 1 species
GGGCCGUUAGCUCAGUUGGUAGAGCUGGAGACUCUUAAUCUCUAGGUCGUAGGUUCGAGUCCUACACGGCCCACCA